rnacentral:rRNA from 1 species
GAUGAACGCUGGCGGCGUGCCUAAUACAUGCCAGUCGAGCGAACGGACGAGAAGCUUGCUUUUCUGAUGUUAGCGGCGGACGGGUGAGUAACACGUGGAUAACCUACCUAUAAGACUGGGAUAACUUCGGGAAACCGGAGCUAAUACCGGAUAAUAUUUUGAACCGCAUGGUUCAAAAGUGAAAGACGGUCUUGCUGUCACUUAUAGAUGGAUCCGCGCUGCAUUAGCUAGUUGGUAAGGUAACGGCUUACCAAGGCAACGAUGCAUAGCCGACCUGAGAGGGUGAUCAGCCACACUGGAACUGAGACACGGUCCAGACUCCUACGGGAGGCAGCAGUAGGGAAUCUUCCGCAAUGGGCGAAAGCCUGACGGAGCAACGCCGCGUGAGUGAUGAAGGUCUUCGGAUCGUAAAACUCUGUUAUUAGGGAAGAACAUAUGUGUAAGUAACUGUGCACAUCUUGACGGUACCUAAUCAGAAAGCCACGGCUAACUACAUG